AGUACAGUUCAUCUUCCAUAAUGCAUGAAUUUUGCGUGCUACUUGCAUACGGUCAGAAAGAUGGACAAUGAAGGCAACAAGGGUUUGCAUUUUUCUGUAGACUUGGAUGUAAACAUAAAUAUUAAUGAUUUUAAAGAGAAUGGGAGGCGAGUACAAAAUCUGAAAGAUUCAGCCAGGUUAUUCUCUGCCCACUCCCUUUUUUUUCUUGUUGGAAUUGAUGAAAAAGAUGGACAACAAUUAAUAAUUGUAAAGAGGAUGGGAGGCAAAUUCGACAUUUGAAAGCUUACCAAGGAUGGCCUUGCAUCAAAAUGUCUCAAAUACGGAUAAGAUAUGCAUUUCUAAUCUUUUUUGCCAAUAAAAGAGAUGAAAGCUUUUGUUUCAAAGUUUAUAAGGUCGUCAUGGCACUCCAGUGCAAGUAAGAUCUUUUCAGUUUUGUGUUAUAGUGUCUUAUGUUUUAAAUACGAAAUUGUGAAGUACUGCUCAUGAUAUUCACUGGCUCUCUGGCUGGAAUUAACACCAUCAAAUUUGCAAUUACUACGGUCAUAUUAGACCACAUCUUGGUGAGGUUGGUGAGGUAUUUUGUCAUAUAGUCUGCUACUUAAAUUAACUGUUAGUAUUCCAAGACAAUUGAAAUUGUAAAUCACUUAAAAUUGAUGCUUCCACAUUUUGCAUACAUGUUUAUUAUAAUGUACACAAAUACAACUGACAAAAAAAAUCACUUUUAAUUAUUUUUAAUGCAUCUUUAACAUGUAUCAAAGCUCCCAUUGUGGCACAAGCUUGGAGGAUGGUGUCAAUAGCUACACAACUUGCUUUAUACCUUUAUACCAGUUAAUCACAUUUGCUAAAAGAAGUUUUUAGCAGCAGAGAAGAAAGGGCAGCAAAUUUUACUAGGGAAAAUUUCAUCAGAAUAUCACGAAGAGAAAGAAGAUUAUGAAGUCCGUUUACAGAUGAAAGACCACCACAAUUCUUGAAAUAAAUGAAAGGUUAAAAUUUAUUCAAAGAAGAAGAAAUACAAAGCAAGGGCAUCAAACAGCCCAUCAGAAUAGUGUAUUAACCCCAAAAUUCAAAUAAUCCAAGGUGAAGG